CUUUAGCAUGGUUUCAAGUGCAACCUUGAAAAUUGGUUUCUUACAGCAUUUUGUGGGGCACAAGCUGGGAGCUGAGAGCAACAAACUCCUUUGGUCAUGAGACAAGCUUCACUUCACUCCUGUUGUUUCCAGUCACCACAGAAACCAAAGUGAAGGGGUGGACAUAUGGAUGCUUGGAUACCUGUCCAAUACAGCAUCAAGAUAGAGCUGAAGCUUAUACCCAGACCUGGUUAACUCACUUUAUGGUUCUCAUGACCUGAAUCAAAAAAUAGCUUUAAGAUGGCUGAAUGGAUACUCAUCUAGUGAAUUGUUUUCUAUAAUAUUAUGAUAAUGAAUUGAAUCAUGAAAAACAAUAAUAAAACAUCUCCAUAUUGCAUCCAUGGAGAUUCACUAGGGUGAAUUACACUAAAUGGAUUUUUAUGUGGAAUGGGUGUCUUUUCCAAAGUUCAACGAGAGUCAAGACUACAUCCGUACAUGUUUAGGAGCCAAAAAUUGUCUUUGUUGGGUUGGAUAUCUUCCUCUUUAGAAGAACCUUUCUGUCAGAGAAACAGAAGACAGCUUUCUCCUGCCUUCCUGAAAAGUCCUGCAUGGAAUAGACUCCUGCAGGGCUGUAGCUGCUCCUCACUCUGCAGAUGUUUGUCCCAUUACUGUUCACAGGAGUUAAAUAUACACAGAUAUAUAAGAGAGACUUGACCAUCUACUCUCAACAUUCCAAGGUCAGUUGAAGUCAGGACCUUUUACUUUAUGCUCCACCAAGAGAGAACAAAACUUAUGCAAGACUUCCUCAGGGAGCACUGGGUCUGAGGUUUUUCACAGUGCACAGGGCUAAAAUUCAAAUAUGAAGCACAGCUGUUUGGACAGGAAUCUUGGACCUCUUUGUUUUGAACUACAGUGACCCACUCAGCCUCACCAACACAUGAAACUGAAAUUCCUGCACAGCUAAUGACUGGGAUGUGAAAUUGCCU
rnacentral:lncRNA from 1 species